AGAGUUUGAUCCUGGCUCCGAUUGAACGCUGGCGGUAUGCUUAACACAUGCAAGUCGAACGGAAACGAUACUAGCUUGCUAGUAGGCGUCGAGUGGCGGACGGGUGAGUAACGCGUAGGAAUCUACCUGAUAGUGGGGGAUAGCCCGAAGAAAUUCGGAUUAAUACCGCAUAAUCUAUUCGUAGUAAAGUGGGGGACUUUCGAGCCUCACGCUAUCAGAUGAGCCUGCGUAAGAUUAGCUAGUUGGUAGGGUAAAAGCCUACCAAGGCGACGAUCUUUAGCUGGUCUGAGAGGAUGAUCAGCCACAUCGGGACUGAGACACGGCCCGAACUCCUACGGGAGGCAGCAGUGGGGAAUAUUGGACAAUGGGGGCAACCCUGAUCCAGCAAUACCGCGUGUGUGAAGAAGGCCUGAGGGUUGUAAAGCACUUUCAAUUGUGAAGAAAAGCUAGUGGUUAAUAGCCAUUAGCCUUGACAUUAACUUUAGAAGAAGCACCGGCUAACUCCGUGCCAGCAGCCGCGGUAAUACGGAGGGUGCAAGCGUUAAUCGGAAUUACUGGGCGUAAAGCGUGCGUAGGCGGUUUAUUAAGUCAGAUGUGAAAGCCCCGGGCUUAACCUGGGAACUGCAUUUGAAACUGGUCAACUAGAGUAUGGUAGAGGAAAGUGGAAUUUCUGGUGUAGCGGUGAAAUGCGUAGAUAUCAGAAGGAACAUCAAUGGCGAAGGCAACUUUCUGGACCAAUACUGACGCUGAGGUACGAAAGCGUGGGUAGCAAACAGGAUUA
rnacentral:rRNA from 1 species